rnacentral:rRNA from 1 species
ACGAAGGGUGCAAGCGUUAAUCGGAAUUACUGGGCGUAAAGGGUUCGUAGGUGGCCAACUCAGUCAGACGUGAAAUCCCUCAGCUCAACUGGGGAACUGCGUCUGAUACUAGAUGGCUCGAGUGCAGGAGAGGAACGCGGAAUUCCAGGUGUAGCGGUGAAAUGCGUAGAUAUCUGGAGGAACACCGGUGGCGAAGGCGGCGUUCUGGACUGCAACUGACACUGAGGAACGAAAGCCAGGGGAGCAAACGGGA